rnacentral:lncRNA from 1 species
AAACAGGUAUGGAGGUUUCAAUUUCACGUCAUUAGAGAACUUGCUCCUGAACUGAGCAGGGUAGUUCAGUCCUCACAGAUCAGAAACAUCUCCCUCCUGACCAGAGUGACUGAGGAUGGAUCUUGUCAAGAGGAGCGUCAAGACGUCAUACUGCAGUGGGCUGAGGAACUGAAUCACUCACCACAGACUGGACAGGUAAUUACACCAUGGGGCAGUCACCACAGACUGGACAGGUAAUUACACCAUGGGGCAGUUACCACAGACUGGACAGGUAAUUACACCAUGGGGCAGUCACCACAGACUGGACAGGUAAAUACACCAUGGGGCAGUCACCACAGACUGGACAGGUAAUUACACCAUGGGGCAGUUACCACAGACUGGACAGGUAAUUACACCAUGGGGCAGUCACCACAGACUGGACAGGUACAUACACAACCAGGCAGUUACCACAGACUGGACAGGUAAAUACACCAUGGGGCAGUUACAGUCUGAUGUAGCAAAUUUAGAAAUGUUAUUUUUUUACAGUGG